UCCCCAAGCGUGUGCUAAGUGGGAAAGGAUGUGGAGUCGCAUAGACAGCCAGGAGGUUGGCUCAGAAGCAGCCAUCCUUGAAAGAGUGCGUAACAGCUCACUGGUCUAGUGGUUCCGCGCCGACAAUGUAGCGGGGCUCAAGCACACCACCGAAGACGCGGCAGUACUUCUGUACUGGGUAGGAGAGCGUCCCGUGCGGGGCGAAGCGGCGGCGUGAGCCUGUCGUGGACCGCACGGGAGUGAGAAUGCAGACAUGAGUAGCGAGAGCGGGGUGAAGAUCCCCGCCGCUGGAUGACCAAGGGUUCCGGGGCCACGUUCAUCGUCCCCGGGUUAGUCGGGUCCUAAGGCGAGGCCGACAGGCGUAGUCGAAUGGACGAACGGGUCGAUAUUCCCGUACCGGCUUUGGACCGACCGGUCCGAGACCGGGUUGCUAACCUCCGUUCCGGUUCCGUGCCCUCCUUCGGGUGGGUGUGGGUCCGGCGCGUUGGGAACCGCCCGGCAGUAGGGCAGCGCAGGAGUGACACGGACGGGUAGCCGGCCGCGGAGGUGGUUUUCCGUGGUCAAGCACGCAGCCCGUCGCACAGGCAAAUCCGUGCGGCGUGUGGGCGAGGUGCGAUGAUGGGGCCCCUAUGGGCCGAUAUCCGGUGAUCCCUGCCGUCGAGAAAAGCUUCGGCGCGAGGGCCAAUGCCGCCCGUACCCCAAACCGACACUGGUGGUCAGGUAGAGAAUACCAAGGCGAUCGAGCGAAUCCUGGUCAAGGAACUCGGCAAAUUGCUCCCGUUCCUUCGGUUUAAGGGAGACCCCCUGCUGUGAACGGGCUUGCCCCGGGAGCGGCGGGGGGUGGCACAGGCCAGGGGGUAGCGACUGUUUACCAAAAACACAGGUGCAUGCGAAGGCGAAAGCCGCUGUAUAUGCACUGACGCCUGCCCGGUGCCGGAAGGUUAAGAGGAUCCGUCAAUCCCUUCGGGGACGAAGCGGUGAAUUCAAGCCCCGGUAAACGGCGGUGGUAACUAUAACCAUCCUAAGGUAGCGAAAUUCCUUGUCGGGUAAGUUCCGACCUGCACGAAUGGCGUAACGACUUCCCCACUGUCUCGACCAGGAGCUCGGCGAAAUUGCAGUACGAGUAAAGAUGCUCGUUAAGCGCAGAAGGACGAAAAGACCCCGGGACCUUUACUAUACCUUGGUAUUGGCAUUCGGUGUGGAUUGUGUAGCAUAGGCGGGAGGCUACGAGUCAUGGGCGCCAGCCCGUGAGGAGCCGUCGUUGAAAUACCGCUCUGUUCGCAUUGGAUGUCUAACCUCGAGCAGUCAUCCUGCUCAGGGACAGUGCCUGGCGGGUAGUUUAACUGGGGCGGUUGCCUCCCAAAGAGUAACGGAGGCGCUCAAAGGUUCCCUCAGCCCGGUUGGCAAUCGGGUGGCGAGUGUAAGCGCACAAGGGAGCUUGACUGCGAGACUGACGGGUCGAGCAGGGACGAAAGUCGGAGCUAGUGAUCCGGUGCCGGCGUACGGACGCGGCAUCGCUCAACGGAUAAAAGGUACCCCGGGGAUAACAGGCUGAUCAUUCCCAAGAGUCCAUAUCGACGGGAUGGUUUGGCACCUCGAUGUCGGCUCGUCGCAUCCUGGGGCUGGAGCAGGUCCCAAGGGUUCGGCUGUUCGCCGAUUAAAGCGGCACGCGAGCUGGGUUCAGAACGUCGUGAGACAGUUUGGUCUCUAUCCUCUGCGCUCGUUGGAAUCCUGAGGAGGCCUGCCCAUAGUACGAGAGGACCUGGGUGGACGAACCUCUGGUAUGCCGGUUGUCGCGCCAGCGGCACGGCCGGUUGGCUACGUUCGGAAGGGAUAACCGCUGAAAGCAUCUAAGCGGGAAGCCUGCUCCGAGAUUAGGAUUCCUCGCGGCCUCGGGCCGCGCGACCCCCCAUGUAGAACACGUGGUCGAUAGGCCGGACGUGGAAGCCCCGCAAGGGGUGGAGCUGACCGGUACUAACGGGGGAAAGGCAAUCAUA
rnacentral:rRNA from 1 species